rnacentral:lncRNA from 1 species
CAUAUUUCCUAUACCUGAACCAUACUUUGAUUAUUCCUAUCCACAUACACCAGCAAUAAACCAAUCAACAAAAACCAGCAAUAGCCAGACUCAAGUCAAUAUUGAUCCAAUGAUCAUGCUUUCCCUAUUUCUUCACCAAACAAUGAUUUACCUACUCUUCAACCUCCUCCCAGAAAAUCUAUUAGAACAACGCAUAUACCCACCUAUCUGAAUGACUAUCAUUGUGAUCUACCUACUUCUUCCAAUGUAAUCCAGUCUUCCAUAAUGCUGGCUAGUCCAUAUGCUUCAGGUAUACCUUUCUCUCUUUCUCAUUUUAUCUCUACUGAUAGACUUUCCCCAAAACACAAGGCAUUUGUUACAUCCAUUUCAAAUGUUUAUGAACCAAAGUAUUAUAGCCAAGCUAUCAGAUUUCCACACUGGCACGCUACCAUGAAUUGUGAGAUUCAAGCUCUUGAAAAGAAUAAUACUUGGACCCUCACUCAUCUUGCCACCUCAUAAACACAACAUUAAUUUGCAAAUGGGUUUACAAAGUAAAAUUCAAAGUAGAUGGUACUGUGGAAAGAUACAAAGUACGGUUAGUUGCUAAAGGAUACACUCAACAAGAAGGCCUGGAUUUUUUUGACACCUUCUCCCCUGUUGCAAAAUUGACCUGUGUUCGGAUUCUAUUGGCUAUUACAACAGUAAACAAUUAGUUUUUGCACCAAUUAGAUGUUAACAAUACUUUCCUUCAUGGUGAUUUACAUGAAGAAGUCUACAUGGAACUGUCUCAAGGUUAUCCCAGUCCUAAUCCCUCACUUGUCUACAAACUAAAUAAAAGUCUAUAUGGCCUCAAACAAACAUCUCACCAAUGGUUUGCUAAACUUACUUCUAGCCUUAUCUCAUAUGGUUUUCUCCGGUCCAAGUCUGAUUCGUCUUUAUUCUUGAAGUCUACUGCUGAUUCUUUCCUUGUCCUCUUGGUUUAUGUUGAUAACAUUCUUCUUGCCUGCAACAAUCUUCAUGAAAUUUAGGUCCUCAAGCUUUUUUUGGAUUAUCAUAUCACAAUCAAAGAUCUUGGUGAAUUAAAAUACAAUCUUGGUUUGGAGGUUGCUAGAUCAAAGCAUGGAAUCAGCCUCUGUCAAUGAAAAUAUUCCUUAGACAUCCUUGAAGACUCUGGCUUCAUUGGUUGCAAACCAGUGGCAUUUCCUAUGGAAUCUACUCUCGAGCUCAAAUCAGAAGAAGCAAACCUCAUCUCUGAUCCAUCAGUCUAUAGAAGGCCUAUUGGUAGAUUAAUAUAUCUCACCAUUACAAGACCUGACCUGGCUUACUUUGUACAAGUUCUUAGUCAAUUCAUGUCCAAACCAGCUCAAUCUCACCUAAAUGCUACUCAUAGAGUUCUUAGAUACGUUAAUGCCACACCAGGUCAAGGCUUAUUCUUUCCUGCCAAAUUUGAUUUACACCUCAAAGCAUUGACACUAGACGAAGUGUUACUGGUAUUGCCAUUUUUCUUGGAAUUAGUCUCCUGGAAAUCCAAGAAGCAAACCACUGUUAGUAGAUCUUCAGCUGAAGCUGAGUAUAGUGCUUUAGCAUCCACAACCUGUAAACUCCAAUGGUUACUUUAUCUUCUACAUGAUUUGGCUAUCACUCAUCCUCAGCCUGCAGUCUCAUACACAGAUAGUAAAUCAGCUCUUUCAAUUGCUACAAACCCUGUCCAUCAUGCAAAGACCAAACACAUUCAAAUUGACUGUCAUCUCGUCCGUGAAAAGUUACAUUUUGGAUUAAUCAAGAUCAUCCAUGUUACUUCUCACCACCAACUAGCAGAUGUUUUCACUAAACCCCUUGGCUUAGCCAUGUUUCACAACCAUAUCUCCAAGAUGGGUAUUUUGAACAUCCAUGCCCCUCUUGAGGGGGGCUCUUACAAUACAGCAAAAGCAAACCAGAAACCACCAACAGCAGAAGCAAAUCGGAAACCACUAGAAGAAGUUGAAAAUUCAGUUAACUCAGUUAAUUAGUUAGUUCCGUUAGUUAGUUGGUCAGCAAGAAAGUUAGUUUGUCA